UGGGGAAUUUUGGACAAUGGGCGAAAGCCUGAUCCAGCAAUGCCGCGUGUGUGAAGAAGGCCUUCGGGUUGUAAAGCACUUUUGUCCGGAAAGAAAUCCUUGGCUCUAAUACAGUCGGGGGAUGACGGUACCGGAAGAAUAAGCACCGGCUAACUACGUGCCAGCAGCCGCGGUAAUACGUAGGGUGCAAGCGUUAAUCGGAAUUACUGGGCGUAAAGCGUGCGCAGGCGGUUUGCUAAGACCGAUGUGAAAUCCCCGGGCUCAACCUGGGAACUGCAUUGGUGACUGGCAGGCUAGAGUAUGGCAGAGGGGGGUAGAAUUCCACGUGUAGCAGUGAAAUGCGUAGAGAUGUGGAGGAAUACCGAUGGCGAAGGCAGCCUCCUGGGCCAAUACUGACGCUCAUGCACGAAAGCGUGGGGAGCAAACAGGAUUAGAUACCCUGGUAGUCCACGCCCUAAACGAUGUCACUAGUUGUUGGGGAUUCAUUUCCUAGUACGUAGCUAACGCGUGAGUUGACCGCCUGGGGAGUACGGUCGC
rnacentral:rRNA from 1 species